UACAGAGGUCUCAAGCGUUGUUCGGAUUCAUUGGGCGUAAAGGGUGCGUAGGCGGCGCGGUAAGUCGGGUGUGAAAUCUUGGAGCUUAACUCCGAAACUGCAUUCGAUACUGCCGUGCUUGAGGACUGGAGAGGAGACUGGAAUUUACGGUGUAGCGGUGAAAUGCGCAGAUAUCAGGAGGAACACCGGUGGCGAAGGCGGCUCACUGGCCCGUUACUGACGCUGAGGUGCGAAAGCGUGGGGAGCAAACAGG
rnacentral:rRNA from 1 species